rnacentral:rRNA from 1 species
GGUCGGGACGAUUAUUGGGCUUAAAGCGUCCGUAGCCGGCCCGGUGUGUCUCCGGUUAAAUCCGGCGUCUCAAGCACCGGGCUGCCGGAGAUACUACCGGGCUAGGGAGCGGGAGAGGCGGGCGGUAUUCCCUGGGUAGGGGUAAAAUCCUAAGAUCCAGGGAGGACCAUCGGUGGCGAAGGCGGCCCGCUAGAACGCGUCCGACGGUGAGGGACGAAAGCUGGGGGAGCGAUCCGGAUUAGAUACCCGGGUAGUCCCAGCCGUAAACGAUGCAGGCUAGGUGUGUGGGCGCCUUAGGGGCGCCCAUGUAACGAAGGGAAACCGUUAAGCCUGCCGCCUGGGGAGUACGGCCGCAAGGCUGAAACUUAAAGGAAUUGGCGGGGGAGCACCACAAGGGGUGGAGCCAGAGGGUCAAUUGGAGUCAACGCCCGGAACCUUACCCGGGGAGACAGCAGGAUGAAGGCCGGGSYGAAAGAGCCCWRCSAGACAAGCUGAGAGGUGGUGCAUGGCCGUCGCCGGCUCGUACCGUGAGGCGUCCGGUUAAGUCCGGCAACGAGCGAGACCCGCGCCGCCAAUUGCUCCAGCCCUCUUCGGGGGGCUGAGGAAAUUGGCGGGACUGCCGCCGUAAGGCGGAGGAAGGAGCGGGCUACGGCAGGUCAGUAUGCCCUGAAUCCCCGGGGCCACACGCGGGCUACAAUGGCGCGGACAAUGGGUGGCGAACCCGAAAGGGGGAGCCAAUCCCUAAACCGCGCCUCAGUUGGGAUCGAGGGCUGCAACCCGUCCUCGUGAACCUGGAAUCCCUAGUAACCGCGCGUCAUCAUCGCGCGGUGAAUACGUCCCUGCUCCU